GACGAACGCUGGCGGCGUGCUUAACACAUGCAAGUCGAACGAAGUGGCGAACGGGUGAGUAACGCGUAAUCAACCUGCCCUUCAGAGGGGGACAACAGUUGGAAACGACUGCUAAUACCGCAUACUGAAGGAGGGGAUUGCGUCUGAUUAGCUAGUUGGAGGGGUAACGGCCCCCCAAGGCGAUGUUCAGUAGACGGUCUGAGAGGAGGAACGGCCACAUUGGGACUGAGACACGGCCCAGACUCCUACGGGAGGCAGCAGUGGGGAAUCUUCCGCAAUGGACGAAAGUCGGACGGAGCAACGCCGCGUGAGUGAUGACGGCCUUCGGGUUGUAAAGCUCUGUUAAUCGGGACGCGGUACCGGAAUAGAAAGCCACGGCUAACUACGUGCCAGCCGCCGCGGUAAUAC
rnacentral:rRNA from 1 species